CGUUUCGGAGGACCUAUACAAGCACAAACACUCAGACCACACCAAACAUGUGCAUGGCCAAUGCAAAUGCAUGCCGUGUGCGGGGAUCGAACCCGCAAUGGCCAACAUAACAGUCACAAUCCAGUGCUGUGACCGCUGC